rnacentral:tRNA from 1 species
GGUUGUGGCUCAGUGGCAGAGCGCUUGCCUAACAUGGGUGAGGCACUGGGUUUGAUUCUCAGCACCA